UACAGAGGGUGCGAGCGUUAAUCGGAAUCACUGGGCUUAAAGCGUUCGUAGGCGGACCUGUAGGCGCGUUGUGAAAGCCCUCGGCUCAACCGGGGAACUGCUUCGCGAACCACAGGUCUUGAGUCAAGUAGGGGCGGUCGGAACGAUAGGUGGAGCGGUGAAAUGCGUAGAUAUCUAUCGGAACGCCGACGGUGAAGACAGGCCGCUGGGCUUGUACUGACGCUGAGGAACGAAAGCGUGGGGAG
rnacentral:rRNA from 1 species